AAGUGAUCUUCCCUCCUCAGCCUUCUGAGUAGCUGGGACUACAGAUGCAGAUAGAAAUAUUAGUUUUAUGAGAAAUUAUUUCUUAAAGGAUGAAACAUUCCACAAAAUAUAUUUUGUCAAAGACUAUGGGAAUAAUCAAGCUUUUGUGAAGCAAAGAACUGAGUGAUGAGAUAAAUAAGGACAAAUCCAGAAAGGUAGCUGAUGUAUUUAAAGUCCAGGACCAGAUGGAUUCACAGCUGAAUUCUACCAGAGGUACAAGGAGGAGUUGGUACCAUUCCUUC